CAGAUCAGAAGCGAGAAUGUUGACAUGAGUAGCGAUAAAGAGGGUGAGAGACCCUCUCGCCGUAAGUCCAAGGGUUCCUGCUUAAAGCUAAUCUGAGCAGGGUAAGCCGGCCCCUAAGGCGAGGCCGAAAGGCGUAGUCGAUGGGAACCACGUUAAUAUUCGUGGGCCAGGAGGAAGUGACGGAUCUCGAAGGUAGUUUGCCCUUAUCGGAUUGGGUGGGCUGCUCAGAGGUUCCAGGAAAUAGCCCUCCAUCAGACCGUACCCUAAACCGACACAGGUGGACUGGUAGAGUAUACCAAGGCGCUUGAGAGAACCACGUUAAAGGAACUCGGCAAAAUGCCUCCGUAAGUUCGCGAGAAGGAGGCCCCAUAUGUGCGCAAGCAUGUGUGGGGGGCACAAACUAGGGGGUGGCGACUGUUUACUUAAAACACAGGGCUGUGCGAAGCCGUAAGGCGACGUAUACAGUCUGACGCCUGCCCGGUGCUGGAAGGUUAAAAGGAGGGGUGCAAGCUCUGAAUUGAAGCCCCAGUAAACGGCGGCCGUAACUAUAACGGUCCUAAGGUAGCGAAAUUCCUUGUCGGGUAAGUUCCGACCUGCACGAAUGGCGUAACGAUCUCCCCGCUGUCUCUAACGUGGACUCAGCGAAAUUGAACUGUGUGUCAAGAUGCACACUACCCGCGGUUAGACGGAAAGACCCCAUGCACCUUUACUCCAGCUUUGCACUGGUAUCAGGAUUGUGAUGUGCAGGAUAGGUGGUAGGCAUCGAAGCGGGGACGCCAGUUCUCGUGGAGCCUCCCUUGAGAUACCACCCUUCGCCAUCUUGAUAUCUAACCGCGGCCCGUUAUCCGGGUCCGGGACCCUGCAUGGUGGGGAGUUUGACUGGGGCGGUCGCCUCCCAAACAGUAACGGAGGCGCGCGAAGGUAGGCUCAGACCGGUCGGAAAUCGGUCGUUGAGUGCAAUGGCAGAAGCCUGCCUGACUGCAAGUCUGACAAGACGAGCAGAGACGAAAGUCGGUCAUAGUGAUCCGGUGGUCCCAAGUGGGAGGGCCAUCGCUCAACGGAUAAAAGGUACGCUGGGGAUAACAGGCUGAUGAUGCCCAAGAGUCCAUAUCGACGGCAUCGUUUGGCACCUCGAUGUCGGCUCAUCUCAUCCUGGGGCUGGAGCAGGUCCCAAGGGUAUGGCUGUUCGCCAUUUAAAGAGGUACGUGAGCUGGGUUUAGAACGUCGUGAGACAGUUCGGUCCCUAUCUGCCGUGGGUGUAGGAGACUUGAGAAGAGUUGCCCCUAGUACGAGAGGACCGGGGUGAACGAACCACUGGUGGACCAGUUGUCGUGCCAACGGCAGUGCUGGGUAGCUAUGUUCGGACAGGAUAACCGCUGAAGGCAUCUAAGCGGGAAGCCCCCUUCAAAACAAGGUCUCCCUUGAGAGCCGUGGAAGACCACCACGUCGAUAGGCCGG
rnacentral:rRNA from 1 species